rnacentral:lncRNA from 1 species
CCCCCUUCUCUCUCCCCCUCUCUCCCUUCUCUCUCCCCAACUCUCCCUCCUCUCUCCACCUCUCCCCUUCUCUCUCCGUCUCUUGCUCCAUCACUUCUACAACCGGUACUUCCAGUAGUGCCGCAUUGAGCUUCAAUGAACAUUUCCAGCUAUCAAAACCACCACCACUACCCCCUGGACCAGCCACGGACUACCCAGGUUUAGGUGACCCUAGCCAUGCUAGUGAUGGGAAUGGAGGGGCAUCUAUGAUGGAUGCCAGCAUCAUGACUUCCACAAGCUGUCUGUUCAAGCCAAGCCUACCACCACCACCACUUCCACCAAGGGGGGCCCUGUCGUCCGGCCUCUGCCCAUGCUCGGUGAGGGUUCCCAGGCACAGCUCCGGCCACCGAUGGCCUCCCCUUGAUGUCUCUCUCCAACCCCCUCUACAGAGAGUCUAUGAUGACUUCUCACAACUGUGC